GACGAACGCUGGCGGAGCGCCUAACACAUGCAAGUCGAACGAGCGAGAGAGAGCUUGCUUUCUUGAGCGAGUGGCGAACGGGUGAGUAACGCGUGAGGAACCUGCCUCAAAGAGGGGGACAACAGUUGGAAACGACUGCUAAUACCGCAUAAGCCCACGGUGCCGCAUGGCACAGAGGGAAAAGGAGCAAUCCGCUUUGAGAUGGCCUCGCGUCCGAUUAGCUAGUUGGUGAGGUAACGGCCCACCAAGGCGACGAUCGGUAGCCGGACUGAGAGGUUGAACGGCCACAUUGGGACUGAGACACGGCCCAGACUCCUACGGGAGGCAGCAGUGGGGAAUAUUGCACAAUGGGGGAAACCCUGAUGCAGCGACGCCGCGUGGAGGAAGAAGGUCUUCGGAUUGUAAACUCCUGUUGUUGGGGAAGAUAAUGACGGUACCCAACAAGGAAGUGACGGCUAACUACGUG
rnacentral:rRNA from 1 species